UACGUAGGCAGCAAGCGUUGUUCGGAAUUACUGGGCGUAAAGAGUGUGUAGGCGGUGCUCCAAGUCUGGUGUGAAAUCUCCCGGCUUAACUGGGAGGGUGCAUUAGAAACUGGAAUGCUAGAGGAUGGGAGAGGUAAGCGGAAUUCCAGGUGUAGCGGUGAAAUGCGUAGAUAUCUGGAGGAACACCGGUGGCGAAGGCGGCAUCCUGGACCGGCAUUGACGCUGAGGCGCGAAAGCCAGGGGAGCAAACGGG
rnacentral:rRNA from 1 species